rnacentral:rRNA from 1 species
GACGAACGCUGGCGGCGUGCUUAACACAUGCAAGUCGAACGAUGAACUUGGAGCUUGCUCUGGGGGAUUAGUGGCGAACGGGUGAGUAACACGUGAGUAACCUGCCCUGGACUCUGGGAUAACUUCGAGAAAUCGGAGCUAAUACCGGAUAGGACCUUGCACCGCAUGGUGUGGGGUGGAAAGUUUUUCGGUUUGGGAUGGACUCGAGGCCUAUCAGCUUGUUGGUGAGGUAAUGGCUCACCAAGGCGUCGACGGGUAGCCGGCCUGAGAGGGUGACCGGCCACACUGGGACUGAGACACGGCCCAGACUCCUACGGGAGGCAGCAGUGGGGAAUAUUGCACAAUGGGCGCAAGCCUAAUGCAGCAACGCCGCGUGCGGGAUGACGGCCUUCGGGUUGUAAACCGCUUUUAGUAGGGAAGAAGCCUUCGGGUGACGGUACCUGCAGAAAAAGGACCGGCUAACUACGUGCCAGCCGCCGCAGUAACAC